rnacentral:rRNA from 1 species
UACAGAGGUCUCAAGCGUUGUUCGGAUUCAUUGGGCGUAAAGGGUGUGUAGGUGGCGCCGUUAGUCGGGUGUGAAAUUUCGGAGCUUAACUCCGAAACUGCAUUCGAUACUGCGGUGCUUGAGGACUGGAGAGGAGACUGGAAUUCAUGGUGUAGCAGUGAAAUGCGUAGAGAUCAUGAGGAAGACCAGUGGCGAAGGCGGCAUCCUGGACCGAGAUUGACGCUGAGGCGCGAAAGCCAGGGGAGCAAACGGG